UCUUACUGCUGCAGUUUUCUAGUCGCAGUGCGGCAAAGCAGACGCAAAGAACCAGGCACAAAGAAGCAUAGAUUUUUUUUUUUCGUUUUUAAAAAAAUUCUGUUCUUUUUCAUACGAGGGAAAUUUUCCCGGUGUUAGCGUAGGAACAGACACACAGCCUGGAUGUGUCGGCUUCAGCCUGGCAGCAUUUUCAGCUGAGCAGGGACUGCUUGGAGCUCUAUACCCAAAUUGCCUCUGAGGAAGAACGCCUGGCUGCCCACUUGGUGUACUAAGAGGGGGUUUUUUAUGCCACGGUGAUAGACCUGCAGCAAUAGGACAAAGGAGAUGGCACUUGUCACUGUUUGUCUGACUGGGGCCUUCGCAGGCAAUCCAUUGCCGGAGCUGUGCCAGCAUCCCAGGGUCAUAUAGACUGGUAAUACAGAUGGCCGCAAUUUCUUACAUCACUUAGAGCAAAGCUCAAACAAGAAACCAGACUCUCUGACCUAAAUCAAUCCCAGUCCUUCUGGAUACAGGGCAGCAGUCGACUAGCAAUGACACAACCAGCCAUCAAGUGGAGAGUCUCUGGGAUUGCAAUCUGUGUCAGCUGGAGUCUGAGAGAAUGAAACCCUUUCGGUUAUCCAGUCACUUCUCCUUCUGAUACUGCAAUUACUACAACUACUACUACUACUUCUGUUUUUCUUGCCUGUAAGAAGCUAUUAAUUGUGCUUGGUUUCUGAGUUUACAUUUGCUUGGAUUAGUCUGUCUAUAAUGCAGUCCUUAUCUGCUCCUGCUGGAAAUCAGGGCACGAAGUCAGCCUGCUUUAACAGUUGUUUCCUUCUGCGUGAUGCUAUGCAACUAUAAUGGGUUACACUGACAACAAAGGAACAAGCACAAAGCACCACUUUCUUUGCUGGACUGUUACAGGAACCUAACUCUUCUUCGAUAUGACGCCCUGGUCUCUUCUUUUCACCGUUUCUCUUUUUUUUUUGUUUUCAAAUUCAUCUCAUCGAAAAGCCUCACAGACACCAUCGUGGAUGCGGUUUUUAAUGAUUUGGAAAAGACAGCCUGUGGAGACUGCGAUUUGAGACAGCAACACAUUUAGGUUAUUGCCAAUUUGAAAUACUUGGUUUGUGAAGCACAGCCCUAAGGGAUGAGCUCAGUAACUGAGAAAGAGAUUGUAGAUAAAGAAAUAAAAAUGACAAGUGUAAUGGAGGCUCUGCAAAAGAGACUGUCAGAGAAUCAGUUCAUGGAUGGCAAUUUCACCAGUCUGAAUCUGAAUAAUUCAUAGAUUGAAAUUACCCUGCUUUCACCUUUCCAUUUAAACCGGCAUGAUCUGAAUCUCUAAUAAAUUUUCAAGAUAAAGUAAAAUGCCAGUUUGAAUCUGAAGAGCUUUUAAAACCAGAUGCUACACCCUGAAUCUUUCGAUACCUUUCACAAUUAUCCUGUGAGAACCGCACUUCAUCAUGAAGCACCAUUACCAGUGAAAAUUACUGUGAUUACAAUAGCAACAAUAGAAUACCAUCAAAUGAUCUCUAAUUUACCUAAUUUACCAAGGCUGACUGUAUGCCAUUGUGUUUCACUAUGUCUGGCAUUGGAUCAAUAUCACAGUGGAACAAAAAUGCCUUAAUCAACUAGCGUGUGGCUGUGAGAGACAGGCUGCGACUCCUUCUGUAGAGGUGUGUGUGUAGGUGCAGUGUUUUGCCACAAUCUGCUCGGUCG